GGAGAGACCAGGGAAAGAUAAUUGGAGCCCUUGGAACUGAGCUCCCAGCGACAGCCUCUGCCCAUAGCGUGGAGAACGUUAAGUCCAGCUCCCUGGAGGCAGAAUUCAUCUCUGCGGUUUCCCUUCCAGAGCAUGUGGCCGGCAUCUCCACUAAGACGAAUCACAGCAGGGCAGGCCUGAAAAGACAUAUUUUGGAGAACAUGUAUUGACUGUUCCAGCUGUGAGCAUGCUUCCUGCCCUCCCUCCAGGCUGCCCAGCAGUGCCGCUGCUGCAAAUCCAGGGGUUGCUGAGAGGACGGACUGCUCACAGGGCAGCUGCUGAGGUACAGAACCCACAGGUCGGGGACACGGUCACUGCCAGCUGCCACUCAAGAAAGAAGACGUGGCAGGAAGUUGCUGUGAAAGUAACCACCCCCAACUGCUACCACCCAAGAUAAGCAGGUGUGGCUCUGGGCCCCUCAGCAGCAGGCCAGUGGAGAGGUGAGACUAGCAGUGUGUGGCCUGGGACAGGAGUAGAUAAAAGGCAGCCAUGGUGAGCCAGCGCCAUGAGGAGUGGCUGCCUCUUGAAUCCUGUCAGUCUCCGGCAGAUCCGAUUACAUCUGGGACCCUUAAGAGUACUUGAAGCAAACGGCGCUGGUCUAUUUUAAUCCUGCUCCUUCUAGAAACUAGAAACUGAAAGAACUAUUCCUUCCAGCCCAGAACACUGUCUCUGAACAGCAAGAUGGCUUUGAAACGCUUUCACAACGAAGGUGUGCUCCACUGGGCACCACAACAUACGGUUCAGACGUUUAAAGCCUGUCUCAGCCCAAUUUCCUCUCCAUUUGCUCCCUGGGUAAGGUAUCCCCCCUUCAGUGCAGGCAGAACUGGCGACUUGCUUCUAAUCAACAAAAUAUGGCAAAGUGGUGGAGUCUAGAAGUCUGAGAUCAGGGCACCAGCCUGGCCGAGUUCUGAUGGCGUCUCGCUUUGUCACCCAGGCUGGAGUGCAGUGGCGCGAUCUCGGUUCACUGCAACAUCUACCUCCCAGGUUCAAGUGAUUCUCCUGCCUUAGCCUCCCGAGUAGCUGGGAUUACAGGCACCCACCACCACAUCCGGCGAAUUUUUUGUAUUUUUAGUAGAGACAGGGUUUCACCAUGUUGGCCAGGAUGGUCUUGAUUUCCUGACCUGGUGAUCUGCCCACCUUGGCCUCCCAAACUGCUGGGAUUGCAGGCGUGAGCCACCGUGCCUGGCCGACCACUGAUCUUUUCACUGUAUCCACAGUGUUGCCUUUUCCAGAAUGUCAUAGAAUUUGAAUCAUACUAUAUGUUGCCCUUUCAGAUGAGUUUCUUUCACUUACUAAUAUUCAUUUGUUUCCUCCAUGUCUUUUGGCUUGAUAAUUCAUUUCUUUUUAUCACUGAAUAAUAUUCCAUUGUCUGAUGUACCACAGUUUAUUUACGCAUUUACCUACUGAAGGAUAUCAGGACAUCUUAGUUGCCUCUGAGUUUUUGGCAAUUAUGAAUAAAACUGCUAUAGAAAGAUGUGUGCAGGUUUUUCUGUGGAUAUAGUUUUCAACUCCUUUGGGUAACUCCAAGGAGUGUGGUCGCUGGAUCAUAUAGUAAGAGUAUGUGUAGUUUUGUAACAAAUAGCCAAAUGUUCUCCAAAGUGGCAUUAGCAUUUUGCUUUCCCACCAGCAAGGAAUAAGAGUUCCUGUUGCUCUGUAUCCUCACCAGCAUUUGGUGGUGUCAGUGUUCUGGAUUUUGGCCAUUGUAAUAAAUGUGUGGUGUUAUCUCAUUGUUGUUUUAAUUUGCAUUUGCCUGAUGACAUACAAUGUGGAACAUCUUUUUAUUGAAGCUAAUGUUUUAAGCCUGGCAAUUUAGUCUCUUCUCUUCCUGUAACCCUGAGCCACUGAGCACAGCUUUCUCCAGAAGCACCUGUGAGUCACUAUACACCACUGCUAUCUCCUGAAUGCUGGAGGCACUGGAGUGGGCCCUUUCAACUUUCAUUUUCUUAUUACCUAGAGAACUUGGCAUUGGUAGAUGCCCAAAAAAUGUAUGUGAGAUGCCUGCACAUUAAAAGACUGGCUGAAAACUUAAGCAGUAUACUGGUUUAGAUCAUUCAUCGCUGUCGGCAAGAGUAAAAAGCUAUGUAGCAGCAU
rnacentral:lncRNA from 10 species